rnacentral:sRNA from 1 species
UUUCAAAGCUUCACUAAUAUUAAUGUAGGAUACGGAAAAAUAUAUAGUAGUAAAUAUUAUUAUAUCUACAUUUUUUUGCAGCUAUUUUGUAAAAUAAAUCCUGUAGUUAGAACUUAUUUACAAUUGUUGCCACUGGCUUUUAAUUAUUGUUUUUUCUGGCAAUAAAUUGAUUAACAAACGAAAAAUAUUCCAAAUGUAUUCCAAUCCAUAUAUCACGCAGAUUUCUCCAAAAUUUAAACUAGAUUUCGGCAACUAUUUAAAACAAAAAAUAUUUGACAAACCAAAAUACAAUUGCAAUCUCUUAAAAUGAGCAAAACACACCUAAAUACAUUUCUUAUCAAUUCACUAAAUCUUAUUUCUCCAAAAUUUGAACUAGAUUUUGACAACUAUUUAAAACAAAAAUUUGUUUAACAAACUAAAAUACAAUUGCAAUCCUGUAAAAUAUUUAUUUUAAUUAUUUAUUUAAAUUAGCGGUGUACGUCUUUUUUUUUUAUAGGACAGGUUUGGCGAGACGGGUUUGGAAGAACGUUACUUAAUAAGAAUUAUAAAAUAUAAAAUAAAAAUAUUUUAUAGAUAGAUAUAAUUUUCAAACUUUUAUAUAUACUAAUUUUAAAAAAAAAAAUCUUCAUGGUGUACUACGGGUUAAAAUCUAAUAGUUGUAGAAAACUCUUAAGCCUAAGGAAGUUAAUUACCUAAAU